CAGUCGCCGCGGGAAUACGUAGGUGGCAAGCGUUGUCCGGAAUUAUUGGGCGUAAAGCGCGCGCAGGUGGUUUAAUAAGUCUGAUGUGAAAGCCCACGGCUCAACCGUGGGGAGUCAUUGGAAACUGUUAAACUUGAGUGCAGGAGAGAAAAGUGGAAUUCCUAGUGUAGCGGUGAAAUGCGUAGAGAUUAGGAGGAACACCAGUGGCGAAGGCGGCUUUUUGGCCUGUAACUGACACUGAGGCGCGAAAGCGUGGGGAGCAAACAGGAUUAGAUACCCGUGUAGUCCCUGUCUCUUAUAA
rnacentral:rRNA from 1 species